rnacentral:rRNA from 1 species
UACGAAGGGGGCUAGCGUUGUUCGGAAUUACUGGGCGUAAAGGGCGCGUAAGCGGUUCGGCAAGUCUCUAGUGAAAUCUCAGGGCUCAACUCUGAGUCUGCUGGGGAAACUGCCGGGCUUGAGUGUGGGAGAGGGAAGUGGAAUUCCCGGUGUAGUGGUGAAAUGCGUAGAUAUCGGGAGGAACACCAGUGGCGAAGGCGACUACCUGGCCUGUUCUUGACGCUGAGGCGCGAAAGCUAGGGGAGCAAACGGG